rnacentral:lncRNA from 1 species
AGAUGAAAAGGGAAGGGAUUUUAUUUUUUUUAAAGUUUACCAAAGAUGAAAUACUGAUGACUAAUGAAAAAAGUUUUGUAGUACCUGAAAAAUUCAAAUGAAAACAAACAAUGCUUGCCAAGUGUAAGAAUGUUCUGAGUGUUUUUGUAUAUAUGGUUCAUUUAAUCAAGUCUGUGAAGGAGGCACAUUUGUUUACUCUUUUGUAGAUAAGAGUACAAGUCUAGAGGGGAUAAGUCAUCUACCGUGUGAUCUCCUUAACGAAGCAGUUGAGCUGCAGUCCUGAGCGCUUAUGGUCUGGCUCUAGGUCCACCAUAACCAUGUGCUGUAUGCUGUUGUAGAAGAUUCCAUUUUGCGUAUCAAACAGUAUUUGUAUAUAUAACAGCAAAGCCGAAGUGAGUAUAAGCCAGUUCAGCCUUUUUUUUUUUUUUUUUUUUUUUUUUUUUUUUUAAUUAGUGGUAGUUGUCAGUUGUAGUUGAGAGUUCUUACCUUUAACAACAAUUAAUUACCCAGGCGAAUAACCCGGGGAUGGAGUUUUGGCUAGGGGACUUGAAUUGUUGCAUAGCACAUAAAUUUAAAAAUAGGAAUUGUCCAUAUCAGAGGCUAGCAGAAGCCACCCCCUGAAACCAUCCCUGCAACACAAACAACCUGAGCCUCGUGGGUCAAUUUAUGUCAGCAGAUAGUAGGCGAUUAGAGACUUAGUUCAGACCUUUACUGUUAUCAUUCCAGAUUAGAGGCCAGUGAAUUCUACCAGGCUCUGCCAAUUCCCAGGCCAACUGAAGGUAAGAGAUGUUUUCAACCCUCAGGGAAGGGUUGGUGUGCUGGUGAUGAGCUGGAGGAAGGGAGGAGGCUCCAGUGAAGACGGGAGGAAUCUUUGAAGUGCUUAGGAGAACAAGAUACUUUACCAGUCACCCAGUAGAGAAGGAGCUUUUCUGUUCAUCAGCAUGAGUUCUACUGUCAUGAAAUUUAAAAGGUAAGUAGAACUUCCUUGGAGCCUUCUCCUGUGUUACAGGAAACUGGAGGGACCCAUAAGGGUCUGCUAGUGUCAUACUCACCAAACAGCUUCUCAGGCAUAGUUUCUUGAUCAUAUGUGUUUCACAAAGUGUCCACACUUUUGACACAUUUCUCCCAAGGUAGCUUUUUGAGAAGGAUAGGGUUAUCCGUCAUACACUGAAUUAAUCUGCCUGGUUGGCUCCAGCCCCUCCUCGUCAAAUCAGUCUCGCACUUUAACUGCUGGAAUCCUUCAGUCUGUCUGUGUGGCUCCAUGCUUAUCAAGGCCACAACAAUUUCAACCUUUUUCAUAACUCUGUAAUUGACACUUCUGCUCAGGCGUUUUCACUGAAUAAAAUGUGAGUUCUCUGCGCCUUUUCGUCUGAAUCUUUAACCUAUGUCAACUGUUCAAGUCCUUUCACUCCUAGGAGAGAAAACUAGCAACUGGUCAUUUUUAGGGGCAUUAUAAAUUGGACAGCCCUUUCAGGAGGCCAUAAAAAUAUUUGUAGCCUUUGUCCUGUUAUUCUUCUGGAAAUCUAAAGAAAGUAACCAAAAGUAUGAGAAACACUUUAUGCAGAAGAAUACAUCACAGUGAUUGAGAAUACCAAAGUAACAACUAUUUGGAGUAAGAAUAAGGUUAAUGAGGAGUCUCAGAGAAUAUUUUCAUUAAAGAGUGGUAAGGUUAAUGGAAAUCAGGAAAGAACAGUCAUCUAGAGCAUAACUAGGAAAGAGGUGAAAUACAUAGUUGAAGAAGUAAAGAAUGGCCAACUCAAGUGAAAUAAAGACUCAAAUUUGCCCACUGGGCUAACCAGGUAAGAAUUUAAACCUUACCCCUAGCUAUACCCAGGUAUUGGCAGGAACAAAAGCCAAACUACAUGUGGAAUUUAAGAGAUGGAAAGAAUGUAGAGCUAUCAAGAAGCUUGUCUAUGAAUGAAAAGAGGUAAAGGACUGUAAGCAGAAGGUAUACAGGCUAAAGAGGAGUUGUCUUUAAGAUGAAAGUCAGUUUACUUCUUUGUUCAUCCACUUGAUGCCUUAAGUGCCUUCUAUGAACCAGUAGUUUUAGUGUGAGAAUCAAUAAACAAGGUAUGGAGUUUUGCUUUGAUGCAGUGUUACUUUGUGGUAAUGGGCAGUGAACAAAUAUUUUAUGGCAUUUGAUGAAUGCUGUGAAAAAAAGGGUGAAGGGAUAGAAUGGUGUGAUAAGUGUAUAGUGCUUAAUUGUAUAAGGUGUCAAGGAAGACCUCUAAUGAGAUGACCUUUGAACAGAGACUUAACUGAGAAAACAAGAUGUGUGAGAUCUCAUCAAAGAUCCAAAAGGGGACUGUGCUUGGCUACUCUGAGCAACAACAAGGAUACCAGGAGAGCUUGAGCAGAGUGAGUGAGAGGGAACUCAGGGGAAUCUGAGGUCAAAGAGGUGGCAGUGGACUGAAUCUUUCUAGGUCUUGCUGAGGUUUGGAUUUCAUUUUGAGUCAAGAUGGCCUGUAGGCAUUGAGUAGAGAAUUUUUUAAGAACUUUCGUUGGUAAAAAGAUUACUAUGGCUGCUAUAUUGACAGACAAGAAAAUGGCAAACCAGCCAGGACACAAUUGUAAUAGUCUAAUUGUGAGCAAAACUUAGGCCCUGUGAGGUGUAUAGCUAAGACCUGGCCAAAGAUAAAACAUAAACAGUGGAAGGGAGAAAUAGGCAGUAAUACAAUAUUGGAAACUGACAUCAAUACUCAGUCUGCUUUCAUCAAAGGAUAGAUCAUCCAGGUAGAAAAUCAUAGAAGGAAGGAAAUAACAAAGGUCAGAGUGGAAAUGAAUAGAGACUAAAAGACAAUAGAGAAUGUGAAAUUAGGAUAAGAAUUGGGGCUUUUUGAAAAGAUAAAAUGGACAAACCGUUUUAGCUAAACUCACCAAGAAGAAAAGAGAUGCCUCAAAAUUAUAAAUGAAAGAGGGUUUAUACCACACAAAUACAAAAGCUCAUGAGAGACUACUACAAUUAUACACCAACAAACUGGACAACCUGGAAGGAAAUGGUUACAUUCCUAGAAACAUACACUCUACCAAGACCGAAUCAGGAAGAAAUAGAAAUUCUGAACAAACCAGUAAAUAGCAAGGACCUUGAAUCAGUAAUCAAAAAAACUCCCAACAAGGAAAAGUACAGUAUGAAAUGGCUUCACCAAUGACUUCCAAACAUUUAAAUAAUACCAACCCUUCUCAAACCUCCACAAAAUAGAAGAGUGUAUUUCCAAACUAAUUUUUCAAAGUCAUCGUUAUCUUGAUACUAAAACUAGACAAGUCAGUAUAAGAAAAAAAUUCACAAGCCAAUAAACUGGAUCAUGUAGUAUGUAUCAAUUGAAAAAAAUCUGCAUAUAAAUGCUCUCCAAGGGUCAGCUGUACUUAGGAAUACAUUUAACCAAGGAGAUGAAGGUGUAUAUACUGAAAGUUGUAAGACUGAUAAAAAAUGGAAGAGGACCCAAAAAUGGAAAGCUGUUCUGUAGUCUUGCAUUUGAAGAAUUAAUACUGUUAAAAUGCCCAUACCGCCCAAAGCAAUCUACAGUUCAGUGCUAUCCCUAUCAAAACUCCAAUGCCAUUUUUAAUAGAAUAGUCCUAAAGUUUGUAAGGAAUCACAAAAGACCCUGAAUAGUCAAAACAAUCUUGAGAAAGAGCAUCAAAGCUGGAAACAUCAUGUUUCCUCAUUUCAAACUACAUUACAAAGCUAUAGUCAUCAAAGUGGUAUGGUAUUAGUAUAAAAAUAGAUCAGUGGAACAGGAUAGAGAGUGCAGAAACAAACUUAGAAAUAUAUAGUCAACUUUCAGUAAACAAGCCAAAAAUAUACGAUGGAGGAAGGGAUAAUCUCUUCAGUAAAUAAUGUGAGGAAAAAAUUGCCACAUGCAUACGAACAAAAGUGGACCCCUAUCCUACACCAUAUACAAAAGUCAACUCAAUAAACUUAAAAGUUUUUGCACAGCAAAGGAAACCAAAAACAGGACAAAAAGACAACCCAAAGAAUGGGAGAAAAUACUUGCAAAUGGAGAAACUGACAAGGGAUUAAUCUCCAAAAUAUGUGAACAACUGAUGCAGCUCCAUAUAUUAAAAAGAAAAACUCAAUCAAAAAAUGGGCAGAAGAGCUAAAUAGACAUUUCUCCAAAGAGGCCAUAAAGGUGGCCAAAAAAAAAAAAAAAAAAAAAAAAACCACAUGAAAAGAUGCUUAGCAUCACUGGUUAUUAGAGAAAUGCAAAUAAAAACUUUAAUGAGGUAUCACCUUACACCAGUCAGAGUGGCCAUUAUCAAACGUCUACAAACAAUAAAUGCUACAGAGGGUGUGGAGAAAAGGCAACCCUCCUGCACUGUUGGUGGGAAUGUAAAUUGGUGUAACCACUGUGGAAAACAAUGUGGAGGUCCCUCAGCGAAAAAUAGAACAUAUUAUCCAGCAAUCCUCCUCCUGGGCAUGUAUCUAGAGAAAACCAUAAUUUGAAAAGAUACAUGCACCCUCAACAUUCACUGCAGCACUAUUUACAACAGCCAGGACGUGGAAGCAACCAAAAUGUCCGUUCACAGAGGAAAGGAUGAAGAUGUGUGUAUAUUUAUAUACAAUGGAAUAUUAACCAGCCAUUAAAAAAAGAAUGAAAUAACACUGUUUCAGCAACAUAGAUGGACCAUUAUCACACUAAGUGUAGUAAGUCAGAGGAAGACAAACACCACAUGAUAUCGCUUAUAAGUGGAAUCUAAGAAAAGGAUACAAGUGGAUGUAUUUGCAGAAUAGAAACAGACUCAGACUGAAAGAAAUUUAUGGUUACCAAAGGGGUAGGUGAGGGGAGAGAUGAAUUAGGGAUUGGCAUAUGCACACUGUGGUAUAUGGAAUGAUUGCCUAACAGAGAACUGCUGUAUAGAAGAGGGAAGUCUACCCAAUAUUCUGUGAUGAUCUAUAUGGGAAAAAAAUCUGAAAAAAAAAAGUAUGUGUAUAUAUGUAUAGCUAAAUCACUUUAUUCUACAGCAGAAAUUAUCACAAAAUUGCAAAUCAACUAUACUUUAAUAAAAUUGAAAAAAAAUCAGAAUUAUUGAAAGGCUUAAGUGUAAGACCUGAGACUGAAAAACCUCUGGAAAAAAACAUAGGGGGGUAAGUUCUUCAUCAUUGGUCUUGAGAAUUAAUUACUUUUAGGACUUGACACCCAAAGCAAAGGCAGCAAAAGCAAAAAUAAACAGGUGAGAUUACAUCAAACUAAAAAGUUUUUUCAGGGAGUUCCCAUUGUGGCUCAGUGGUGAUGAACCUAAUAUCCAUGAGGAUGCAGGUUCAAUCCCUGGCCUCACUCAUUGGGUUAAGGAUCCAGAGUUACAGUGAGCUGUGGCGUAGGUCACAUCCAUGGCUUGGAUCUGGCAUUGCUGUGGCGUAAGCCAGUGGCUACAGCUCCAAUUAAACCCCUAGCCUAGGAACUUACAUAUGCCAUGAGUGUGGCCCUAAAAAUAAAUGAAUAAAUAAGAAGCUUUUUUAUAGCAAAGGAGACUAUCAACAAAAUAAAAAGGCAGCUUAAUGAGUAAGAGAAAAUAUUUACAAAUGAUAUGUAUAAUAAGGCAUUAAUAUCCAAAAUUCAUAAAGAAUUUAUAUACUCAACAUCAAAAAAUCAACCCAGGAAUUCCUGUCGUGGCUCAGUGGUUAACGAACCCAACCAGUAUCCAUGAGGGGGCAGGUUCGAUCCCUGGCCUUGCUCAGCGGGUUAAGGAUCCGGCGUUGCCAUGAGGGGUGGUGUAGGUUGCAGACACAGCUCGAAUCUGAAGUUGCUUUGGCUGUGGCAUAGGCUGGGUGGCUACAGCUCUAAUUUGACCCCUAGACUGGGAACCUCCAA